AACGCACCUUGCGCUCCUUGGUAUUCCGAGGAGCAUGCCUGUUUGAGUGUCAUUAAAUUCUCAACUCCGAUCGAUUUGUUUCGACCUCGGAGCUUGGACUUUGGAGUGUGCUGGCGUCGGUCGGCUCCUCUCAAAUGCAUCAGCGGAAUCUAACGUUUCGGACGUCAGUGUGAUAAUCACGUUGCGCUGUCAACCGAUCCUGAAAGGCCCGCUCAUAAUGGUCUUCGGACAACUUCAUAUCAAAUUUGACCUCAAAUCAGGUAGGACUACCCGCUGAACUUAA
rnacentral:misc_RNA from 1 species